rnacentral:rRNA from 1 species
UACGAAGGGGGCUAGCGUUGCUCGGAAUCACUGGGCGUAAAGGGUGCGUAGGCGGGUCUUUAAGUCAGGGGUGAAAUCCUGGAGCUCAACUCCAGAACUGCCUUUGAUACUGAGGAUCUUGAGUUCGGGAGAGGUGAGUGGAACUGCGAGUGUAGAGGUGAAAUUCGUAGAUAUUCGCAAGAACACCAGUGGCGAAGGCGGCUCACUGGCUCAUUUCUGACGCUCAGGCGCGACAGCGUGGGGAUCAAACAGG